rnacentral:rRNA from 1 species
GAUGAGCCCGUGGGCAGGAGGCGCGGGAAUAGGCGGGGGGCAACGGUUGUCCUGAAUUAUUGGGCGGAAAGGGGUUGUAGGUGGCUUUUCGCGUCUGCCGUGAAAACCCGAGGCUCAACUUCGGGCGUGCGGUGGGUACGGGCAGGCUAGAGUGUGGUAGGGGAGACUGGAACUCCUGGUGUAGCGGUGAAAUGCGCAGAUAUCAGGAAGAACACCGAUGGCGAAGGCAGGUCUCUGGGCCAUUACUGACACUGAGAAGCGAAAGCAUGGGUAGCGAACAGGAUUAGAUACCCUGUAGUC